rnacentral:rRNA from 1 species
GAUGAACGCUGGCGGCGUGCCUAACACAUGCAAGUCGAGCGAACGGACGAGAAGCUUGUUUCUUUGAUGUUAGCGGCGGACGGGCGAGUAACACGUGGAUAACCUACUUAUAAUACUGGGAUAAUUUCGGGAAACCGGAUCUAAUACCGGAUAAUAUUUUGAACCGCAUGGUUCAAAAGAGAAAGACGGCCUUGCUGUCACUAAUAGAUGGAUCCGCGCUGCAUUAGCUAGUUGGUAAGGUAACGGCUUACCAAGGCUACGAUGCGUAGCCGACCUGAGAGGGUGAUCGGCCACACUGGAACUGAGACACGGUCCAGACUCCUACGGGAGGCAGCAGUAGGGAAUCUUCCGCAAUGGGCGAAAGCCUGACGGAGCAACGCCGCGUGGGUGAUGAAGGUCUUCGGAUCGUAAAGCUCUGUUAUUGGGGAAGAACAGAUGUGUAAGUAACUGUGCACAUCUUGACGGUACCUAAUCAGAAAGCCACGGCUAACUACGUG